GGCUCAUUAUAUAAGUUAUCGUUUAUUUGAUAGCACCUUACUACUUGGAUAACCGUGGUAAUUCUAGAGCUAAUACAUGCUGAAAACCCCGACUUCGGAAGGGGUGUAUUUAUUAGAUUAAAAACCAAUGCCCUCUGGGCUCUCUGGUGAUUCAUGAUAACUCUUCGAAUCGCACGGCCUUGCGCCGGCGAUGGUUCAUUCAAAUUUCUUCCCUAUCAGCUUUCGAUGUUUGGGUAGUGGCCAAACAUGGCUGCAACGGGUAACGGAGGGUUAGGGCUCGACCCCGGAGAAGGAGCCUGAGAAACGGCUACUACAUCCAAGGAAGGCAGCAGGCGCGCAAAUUACCCAAUCCCGACACGGGGAGGUAGUGACAAUAAAUACUGAUACAGGGCUCUUUUGGGUCUUGUAAUUGGAAUGAGUACAAUUUAAAUCCCUUAACGAGGAACAAUUGGAGGGCAAGUCUGGUGCCAGCAGCCGCGGUAAUUCCAGCUCCAAUAGCGUAUAUUAAAGUUGUUGUGGUUAAAAAGCUCGUAGUUGAACCUUGGGCCUGGCUGGCCGGUCCGCCUCACCGCGUGCACUGGUCCGGCCGGGCCUUUCCCUCCGCGGAACCCCAUGCCCUUCACUGGGCGUGGCGGGGAAACGGGACUUUUACUUUGAAAAAAUUAGAGUGCUCCAGGCAGGCCUAUGCUCGAAUACAUUAGCAUGGAAUAAUGAAAUAGGACGCGCGGUUCUAUUUUGUUGGUUUCUAGGACCGCCGUAAUGAUUAAUAGGGACAGUCGGGGGCAUCAGUAUUCAAUUGUCAGAGGUGAAAUUCUUGGAUCAAUUGAAGACUAACUACUGCGAAAGCAUUUGCCAAGGAUGUUUUCAUUAAUCAGGAACGAAAGUUAGGGGAUCGAAGACGAUCAGAUACCGUCGUAGUCUUAACCAUAAACUAUGCCGACUAGGGAUCGGACGAUGUUAUUACUUGACUCG
rnacentral:rRNA from 1 species